rnacentral:rRNA from 1 species
UACACACGCCCGUCACACCACGGGAGUUGGUUGUACCAGAAGCAGUUGAGCCAACCGCAAGGGGGCAGGCUGCCAAGGUAUGGCGAGUAACUGGGGUG